rnacentral:tRNA from 1 species
GGCCUCGUAGCUUAGUUGGCUAGAGCGUUGGCUUAAGUAAACAUUUCCCCUGCUAGCGUGGGUUUAAAUCCUACUAAGGCCA